CCUACGGGAGGCUGCAGUGGGGAAUAUUGCACAAUGGGGGAAACCCUGAUGCAGCGACGCCGCGUGAGUGAAGAAGUAAUUCGUUAUGUAAAGCUCUAUCAGCAGGGAAGAAAAUGACGGUACCUGAGUAAGAAGCCCCGGCUAACUACGUGCCAGCAGCCGCGGGAAUACGGAGGGGGCAAGCGUUAUCCGGAUUUACUGGGUGUAAAGGGAGCGUAGACGGCAGUGCAAGUCUGGAGUGAAAGGCGGGGGCUCAACCCCCGGACUGCUCUUGAAACUGUACGGCUGGAGUGCAGGAGAGGUAAGUGGAAUGCCUGGUGUAGCGGUGAAAUGCAUAGAUAUCAGGAGGAACACCAGUUGCGAAGGCGGCUUACUGGACUGUAACUGACGUUGAGGCUCGAAAGCGUGGGGAGCGAACAGGAUUAGAUACCCGAGUAGUC
rnacentral:rRNA from 1 species